rnacentral:rRNA from 1 species
CACGUAGGGGGCAAGCGUUGUCCGGAUUUAUUGGGCGUAAAGAGCUCGUAGGCGGUUUCGUAAGUCGGGUGGGAAAACUUCAGGCUCAACCUGGAGACGCCACCCGAUACUGCGAUGACUAGAGUCCGGUAGGGGAGUGUGGAAUUCCUGGUGUAGCGGUGAAAUGCGCAGAUAUCAGGAGGAACACCAACGGCGAAGGCAGCACUCUGGGCCGGAACUGACGCUGAGGAGCGAAAGCGUGGGUAGCGAACAGG